CCUACGGGUGGCAGCAGUGGGGGAUAUUGCACAAUGGGGGCAACCCUGAUGCAGCAACGCCGCGUGAGUGAAGAAGGAUUUCGGUAUGUAAAGCUCUAUCAGCAGGGAAGAGAAUGACGGUAACUGACUAAGAAGCACCGGCUAACUACGUGCCAGGAGCCGCGGUAAUACGUAGGGGGCGAGAGUUAUCCGGAUUUGCUGGGUGCAAAGGGAGUGUAGACGGCUGGUCCAGGCUGAAGUGAAAGCCCGGGGGUUAACCCCGGAACGGCUUUGGAAACUGAGCAGCUAGAGUGCUGGAGAGGUGAGCGGAAUUCCUAGUGUAGCGGUGAAAUGCGUAGAUAUUAGGAGGAACACCAGUGGCGAAGGCGGCUUACUGGACAGUAACUGACGUUGAGGCUCGAAAGCGUGGGGAGCAAACAGGAUUAGAUACCCUGGUAGUC
rnacentral:rRNA from 1 species